CCGGCGUUCCCUCAGCCGAAGCCCUUGCCCAGCGUUCCCUCAGCCGGAGCCGGUCUGUGCCCGCUGUUCCCCUCAGCCAGGGCCGUGCCCGGUCGGGACCGGGGUUCCUGCAGGGUCCCGCACAGCCCCGCCCGGCAGCCGCUCCGAUUCCGCUCCGGCCGGUGGGCCCGGGGGUUCCGCGGUGUCCCGGCCAUUGCGCCCCUGUUCCAGCGGUUCACUCCCCUCGGGCUCGUUCGGAGCUGCCUGGCAGCUGCAAAAAGUAGAAGCGCUUUAUUUUUAGAGGCAAAACCCGAGAUUUGAAAGACGAAAUCAAGUUUGAGUAAAUUGAAGGAAUUGGCAUGCAGCAUCACUUAGUGCAGCAGGUAGAGGAUAUUACCCAGAGCACUGAGCAGAUCUGGACUAGAGAACCCAAGAUACAAGAUAGAUUCUGCAGCACUGUGGGUCUGGAGCUAAAGGAAAACAGCACCUCCUCUGCAGGAUAAGUCUCCAGGACAUGAAACCAGGGAUCCCCAGAGCGGAUAUUUCCCCUGCAGGGGGUCUGCCCAGGCAGGGAAUCUAGAUCAGCAUGGAGAAUGUUAACAGAUGGCUGCCAGGCUCGUGUUUGCCAGCUGGAGAAAAGCACAGUGCAGCAGGGAUGUGUGUCCAAGCCCUUUGCCAGUGGUGGGACCAGCCAGUGAGGAGGAAAGCUCUUGUAACUGUCCUGAUCUCCAACUAUAAGCAAAUCUAGGCAGAGGAAAAACCAGAUAUCACACACUGAUGUUACUGCUUAUGCACAGAGAGCACUGCAAUAUUUUCUUGUACUACAGAAGUAUUUAAUGUGUAGGAAUGUAAUGUGAAUUGUGUUAAUUUGCUGUAUAAAAAUAAUAUUUUCUGUACCUACGUUCAGAGAAUCAGCCUUUUGAGACAUAUCUUUAAGAAAAAUAAAUCUAUCUAGUGGUUUGUGUGGAAUGAAGAUUAUAUUUGAGUCAAAUUUAAAAGUGGCCUAUACUUUGGUGGGUAGUUAAGCUGUAAAAUUUAACCAAUGAAAGGGUAAAAGUGAUAAUCUUGCUUUUACCAGCUCAGCAGUAGCAGAGCAGGUGCAAGCCAUGUUUAAUCCAUGACCCCUGGGAAAUGGUAAUGUUCAUUUCUGUGUCUUCCUGUGCCAGAUGCCAGGCUCUCCAAAUUUCUAAUUGAGAGCACUGACUAGAAAGAAUGAUAGGACACAACUGAGCACCUGGGUCACAUCAAAAUGAGAAAAGCUCUUUAACUGCUGCUUAUUGUAAUAUGCCACUGUAGGCAACACCUGUGGUAGGACUUUAUAAAUAGAUAACCUGGGCUGUGCUCACACAAGGGGAAUUCAGAGGCUGUCAGCUUGUUAGGCAGUUUUCCAGCAGUGUGCUGAUGGCACAUGCCCAUAACCCAAGAGGAAAUCAUUCAUCAUGUUUAUAUGGUACACUAUGACACAAAGUUGUGGGGGUUUUGUUAUUUUUAAAAUUCCUAGUCUGCUUUGGCAUUAAAGGAAGUUCCAAGCAGAUCUGACAUGAGCAUUUUCUAAUUUCUUGAAGCAGGUAUGUUACCUGCCAUGUUCUAAAAUAUUUGGAUGGUCAAAAUUACUUAGCCACGGUAGCACACACUUGCAGAGGAAUUAAACUUUUAGUUUAAUAAACUUUAAGCUAAAGGUACUGAUAACUGUUUUCAUAUAUCGUUUAAUAUCUUAUGAUGUUUUUUCUGAAUUUGCAGUGGUAGUCACUGUACCCUUUGGAGCUCACAGCACUGAAACUCCACAUCCCUUUUGUAUUGUGUGCAGAUAUGAAAGAGAUCCUCCUGCUGAACAUACUACAGCCUGUGGGUUUUGAUUAGCUUUACACCUUUGGAUUGAAUUUCCUUCAUGUUCAAAUAAUUUACAUUUGAAAAUAUGAAGAAUAAAAUGCCUUUUUCAGCUACCAUUGAUUCCUGAUUACUCAGUGUAUAUAGAGGUUGAUUUAUGAGAUUCAUAUAUAGUCAGCAAAUUGUCAUCAAACCUCUUUCUACUCUUCAGAAUUCAUUUAGAUUCUGUGUUGUCUGAUAUACCAUAAACAUCCCACUAAGGUAUAUUUGUUGGUUUUUAUAUUGCAUUGGUAUCAAAAGAAAACAGCAGCUCCCUGUGAAGAUAAAUGUUUUUUUUUAAUCUGGACCAAUUUUUCUUUUCUGGGACUGGAGAGAAAAUUUGUAACUAUUGACAUUUAAUGAAUGAGAUGAGACCUUUUCACUGUGGUCAAAGCUUUGAAAAGCAACUUCAUCUCUAAGACUACAAAAUGUAGAUAAUUUUGUAAACCUGUUUCUGUUGAAUUAACUUUAUUAAAAAGAUAAAAGGAUUGUGGAAGAUAGAAGGGCUUUGAUUCUUGGAUGAUCUUUGGACUCUCAGACUGCAAGGAUAAGGAAAAUGAGCUACAUAUUUCAGGUUUGUUUUUGUAUGUAACCAGUUAAUAAGUAAACUUUUAAAGUAAGGUGCUGUUCUUAAGAGGGUCAAGGUUUUUUUAAAUGCAUCUGAUAUUUGUUUUUAGUGAGUUGUUCCUUGUCUGUGGCAUAAGCUUUGCUUAUUAGCUUUCAUUGCUUUCUCUAAUAAAUUUGCACUGAAGUAUUUUAUGCCUCUUUCUCUUCUGAUUACCAAAUA